AAUAUUCUGUCUCGCUUAAUAAUUGAAAUCUCUCUCGGCGCGGCCGCCAGGGUAAGGAAAGGUGCGGAGAGGGUGACGGAGGAAGUGCGCCCGCCCGCUUUGAUUCCCCGAGAUUCGGCAGCGGAGAAACCAGAAGCUAGGAUAGUCCCUCGGGAGCAUGAGGAUGUCAGGCUGCCAGCCUGCCGCGGACCCCACCCUUCGUAGUGCCCCGACCCCCAACGCAGACUUCAUUCUGACAGGCACACCACAACGCAAUUUUGAGUCCUGAAGGUCAAUGGUGGGGUACCUCCUCCCCGACUUAAGUCUUUGACCUCCCUUCGGAUCGCGGCUAGGGCUGAGAGGCUGCGAAGAGGCCUGGCCAUGGGUGUACGGUGGAGAUAUCUCAAGCUGAGUCAGAUCCCCUCUCCAAGCCUCUCCGACCCUGCUGUAUCCCCGCAGGCUGGGUAGCCGGGGUUACUCUGGGCUGCUCACUCGAAUUUAUGGGAACGCCAAACCGGGACUGACCUGCAUGGAGAAAGCAGAGGGAAGAAGAGAGAGCGGGAGGGGGCGGCUGCCUGUAGGAACUCGGGUCUUCCAGGGAAGCGGAGCGGGACUGCCGCGUUCCCCUCGAUUUGCACCGUCACUCCGGCGGGUUGGAAGGAAGAGGGGAGGCGCUGUGCCUGCCUCUGUGUACCUGGAGCUGGGUGCACAAGUGUGUACGGACGUCUGUGCCUCUGUGUGAGUUGUCAGGGCUUUGGCAGCGUCCGGAGCGAGUUCGGAGGUCGCCUCCAGAAACUCGCAGAAACGGGAAGGGGGCAAGAGGAGGACACAACCCCUUCCUCGGAAGGACUUGGACGACUUUGAAUCUCCCCUCCCCCACUUUUCCGCCCCAGCUCUUCUUUUGUUGUCAAGUCCUUUGAUAAAUGGUAGGGCAGGGAGCGCGGGGAGCCAGGAGCCAGUCUGUACCCUCUCGGGGGGCAGGGCCGGGUCUGGCGACCCGGUUUCCUUCGGCGCUGAGCCCCGUACCGCGGGGGUCGAGUCUGGGACCUGCCCUCCGCAGGCUCGCCCUCUCCUUUCUCACCACCCCGUUCCCUCCCCCCGCCUUUUUUGGUCUCUCUUCCACUCCAUACAGGUACCGAGAACUUUCUGGGAAUCGACGGGAUUUCUCUGCGGUUUGCGCUGCCUGUAUCCGAAUAAAUUGAGCUCGCAGGCAUCCGGCAGGAAACGGCUCCCGGUUGGAGUGUACGCCGACGCAUCGGCCCAGCACGGGACGCGAGGUGGCUCCUGGUGAUUGUGUGGCUGUAGGUCGGGCCUCCGAAGGAGGCUGGACUAUCAGCGCCCUCAGGCCGGGAGCGGCCCCUUGCUGCCCUGCAGUGCCCGGCAGCCCCCACCUCUGGUGGUGCUUCGGGAACCUGCCCGGCCAAGUCCGCCCGGGGCGAAAACUGAAAGCAAAUUCCGCGGCAAAUGAAGCCCAAACUUUCUUCGACGCAACUUUGCCACAAUGAUUCGGUGGCGACUUAGGACGGCGCGCUGGUCUGUGCGCGUGCAAGGUGGGGGUGGUGGGCGAAGAAAGCUUGGGGCGGCCGAGCCUGGCCCUAGAUGAAACACUAGGGAAGGCGCCUCCCCUUCCUUAUUUCUCGCCAAUUCCUCGGCCCCAAUCCGUAAAAAUAGUUUCCAAUGUGUGGCGGACGCCCAGGAUGUGUUUGUGGGGAUCGCACCAGGGAAAAGGAAGCUUUGUGAAAGUUGCAGAAAGACCUUUGCCCAGAAGCGUCCGCCCUGCAGGGCUCAAGAAAGCUGAGGACCAGCUCGCCUCUCCCGGGGUGGAAUGCCUAGAAAUCGACUUGGGGAGACCCCAGCCCAGUCCUCUCCUCUCACCUCGAACUCGCGCGUAAAUAACCUCCCGCAGUCUGCGCUGGAAACUCACAAGCGCGGCGCCGCGGUUGGCUGGCGAGGCCGGGACGCUGAGCCGGCCCGCAAGGCCGCUUCUUAGCGCGCUCAGUCCCAGUACCUAAGAGAAGCUUGCACCAAGGUGAGAGGACGAGUGUGCUUUCAGCUCCUGCUCGGCUGUCUAGACCAUCACCGCCGACCUCCCAACUCCCUGGAGCGGGCGCUUCCCCCCUGGGAGCGGCAGUCUUGGGCGGCUGGCUAGGGCGCAAAGUGCGCGCGCGGACCGGCGCGGGGUGGGGGGCGGCUGCCGGUCUCUCCGCGGGGCCUGUCGCCGGGCCGGCCGCGGCGGGUGAGUGAUGAGGGCAGAGAAGGGCGCCCAUAAAUCGCGGGUGUCAGGGCGAAAAACUCUCUUUAUUGUCUGCGUGAUGGAUGGGCCCGGGGACGAGACACCAAAUACUUCGUAUCGCCUUUAAAUGGGAACACAUUUUCCGCGGCCAUAAUUCAUGUUUUUUAAAUAGAAAGUUUGAAAUGUUGCCUAUAUUUCACCGGCCCUGACAUAUUUAUGAAUCGCUCCCUGCAUGCAAAUAUCAUUAUUUAAAGCGCCGGGGAGAGCUGGGGGGGGGGGAGGGGAAGAGGCAUGGCCCCCGUGGCGUGGGGGUGGUGAAUGGGGGAAAUGCGGAUGGUGGAGGGGGUGCAUCUCCCUAAAGCGCGGACAAUGAGGCGCGGGGGAAAUCCUUAUACGGAAGCCGAGCGCACUGGGGCCUCCACUCCCGUCGCUGGACCGAGCACUGCCGCUCCGGGAAGUUUGAGCCGCUUGGGUCCGUGGACAGGCCCCCGCCCCGUGCGGGAAGACCCGGUGGGCCUUUUGCGUCCUUCUCCAAGGCCCUGAUCCGAGUCAAAGCCACCUUUCCCAAGGAAAAAAAAAAAAUUUUUUUUUAAAUAAAAGAAUUUAACAAACACAAAUAAUAA